rnacentral:rRNA from 1 species
UACGAAGGGGGCUAGCGUUGUUCGGAAUCACUGGGCGUAAAGCGCACGUAGGCGGAUCUUUAAGUCAGGGGUGAAAUCCCGAGGCUCAACCUCGGAACUGCCUUUGAUACUGGGGAUCUCGAGUCCGGGAGAGGUGAGUGAAACUGCGAGUGUAGAGGUGAAAUUCGUAGAUAUUCGCAAGAACACCAGUGGCGAAGGCGGCUCACUGGCCCGGAACUGACGCUGAGGUGCGAAAGCGUGGGGAGCAAACAGG